rnacentral:rRNA from 1 species
AUUGAACGCUGGCGGCAGGCCUAACACAUGCAAGUCGAACGAGUGGCGGACGGGUGAGUAAUGUCUGGGAUACUGCCCGAUGGGGGGGGAUAACUACUGGAAACUGUAGCUAAUACCUCAUAUCAUCUGAUGUGCCCUGAUGGGAUUGGCUUGUUGGGAGGGUAACGUCUCACCUAGGUGACGAUGCAUAGCUGGUCUGAGAGGAUGACGAGCCACACUGGUGAGAGGACGCGGUCCAGAAUCCUACGGGAGGCAGCAGUGGGGAAUAUUGCACAAUGAGCGCAAGCCUGAUGCAGCCAUGCCGCGUGUAUGAAGAAGGCCAUCGGGUUGUAAAGUACUUUCAGCGAGGAGGCGUUACUCGCAGAAGAAGCACCGGCUAACUCCGUGCCAGCAGCCGCGGUAAUUC